rnacentral:rRNA from 1 species
CCUACGGGCGGCAGCAGUGGGGAAUAUUGCACAAUGGGGGAAACCCUGAUGCAGCGACGCCGCGUGAGCGAAGAAGUAUUUCGGUAUGUAAAGCUCUAUCAGCAGGGAAGAAAAUGACGGUACCUGAGUAAGAAGCUCCGGCUAAAUACGUGCCAGCAGCCGCGGUCAUACGUAUGGAGCAAGCGUUAUCCGGAUUUACUGGGCGUAAAGGGAGCGUAGGCGGCCUGCCAAGUCUGAUGUGAAAUACCGGGGCUCAACCCCGGGGCUGCAUUGGAAACUGGCAGGCUGGAGUGCCGGAGAGGCAGGCGGAAUUCCUAGUGUAGCGGUGAAAUGCGUAGAUAUUAGGAGGAAUACUCAUUGCGAAGGCGACCUGCUAGAACAUAACUGACGCUGAUGCGCGAAAGCGUGGGGAGCAAACAGGAUUAGAUACCCCUGUAGUC